CCAAAAUCCGAUUCACAAGACUGUUAACACACUGGAGCCACCAUAAGGACCUACUGUUUGGUGACUUGUAUGGCACUGCCAACACCAUCUGCUCCAGAGCAGAAAGACUACUUAAUAGCCAAAAGCAGCUGCCAGAUUAGGCUUCAAUGUACUCUUUCAGUUCCCUCCAGGAUGACCUGAUGUGACCACCCUUCUAGGUAGAGAGGAGCCAACUGAUGAGUAGGCAAUUGCCAUUGAAAAGAUAAUUUGUUAUGCCCACAAGUCCCAAGAAGAAGGGGUGCACAAGGAAGCACCAAGCUGUUUGUAAAAGCUUCGGUCUGCACAAUUCUGAUUUAAAGGAACCUACUGAGCAAUCCUCCAGUAAAGAAGAAAGCUG